CCUACGGGGGGCAGCAGUGGGGAAUAUUGCACAAUGGGCGCAAGCCUGAUGCAGCCAUGCCGCGUGUGUGAAGAAGGCCUUCGGGUUGUAAAGCACUUUCAGCGGGGAGGAAGGCGGUGAGGUUAAUAACCUCAUCGAUUGACGUUACCCGCAGAAGAAGCACCGGCUAACUCCGUGCCAGCAGCCGCGGUAAUACGGAGGGUGCAAGCGUUAAUCGGAAUUACUGGGCGUAAAGCGCACGCAGGCGGUCUGUCAAGUCGGAUGUGAAAUCCCCGGGCUCAACCUGGGAACGGCAUUCGAAACUGGCAGGCUAGAGUCUUGUAGAGGGGGGUAGAAUUCCAGGUGUAGCGGUGAAAUGCGUAGAGAUCUGGAGGAAUACCGGUGGCGAAGGCGGCCCCCUGGACAAAGACUGACGCUCAGGUGCGAAAGCGUGGGGAGCAAACAGGAUUAGAUACCCGAGUAGUC
rnacentral:rRNA from 1 species